rnacentral:lncRNA from 1 species
GUUUCUACUCUAAAUGAAAUAAGUUGUGACUCAAAUACACUAAGUGAUAAAAGCGAUUUGAGGUUGGUCUCCACAUGGGCUGCACAGUAUACUAGACUAUUUCUCUGGCCUUCAACAGCUUUGGCUCUUAGCUCAAAAGGCCGCUUUGGAGUAUGAACUUUAUAGGGCUCUUAAGUCAGAAAUAUAUAGUAAAGGGGGAAAUCAACAAACAGCAAGGAAAUUUCCAUUUCUAAGGUGGAAAAAAAGAGUAUCUAAUAAAAUGCUAACUUUUUCGAGUUCUGGAUAAUGAAAUGUACAUAGUUUAGAGGCCAGAUGUAUAAAACAAGUGAAUGGUAUAUGCAUAUUUUUGGAGGGCAUCGUAUCUCAGUCAUACUUCAUAAUUGCUAUCUCCCUUUAUGUAUAGCACAGUACUUUUAUAAUACAGAAAAAAUGGAUAUAAGUUAAGUGGUGAUUUGGUCAUUAUCUAGCCCACUUCCUUUGGAUUUCUGCCUAGGAGCUGAAAAGCACUGCCCCAGCUAGGGUUAUUCACUUCCUUCUAGAGCACUUGCAAGGUGCAUAUGGUUGGUACACGUCUCUGCCCUGGAAGUAGGGAACUCGGGCCCCAGUCAGGUUCAGGUUGAGGGAGGCAAGGAGACCAUAGCAACAUAAGAUGCACUCAGCGUGGCUUUAUUUAGUUAGUUACUUGUAACAUCUGUUCUAUUCAACUAGAUCAAAGACUCUUUAGAGAAUUUUUGCUCUCAUCUAGAUCAAGUUCUCCCAACCUUAGUGCUACUGACAUUUGGAACCAGAUACUUGUUUUUUUGUUUUUUUGUUUUUUUUUUCUUUGUCUUUUUGCUAUUUCUUGGGCCGCUCCCGCGGCAUAUGGAGAUUCCCAGGCUAGGGGUCGAAUCGGAGCCGUAGCCACCAGCCUACGCCAGAGCCACAGCAACGUGUGAUCCGAGCCGCAUCCGCAACCUACACCACAGCUCAUGGCAACGCUGGAUCGUCAACCCACUGAGCAAGAGCAGGGACCGAACAAGGUUGCGGGCUCGGUCCCUGACCUUGCUCAGUGGGUUAAGGAUCCAGCGUUGCCGUGAGCUGUGGUGUAGGUUGCAGGUCCCUCGUUGCUGUGGCUCUGGUGUAGGCCAGUGGCUACAGCUCUGAUCAGACCCCUGGCCCGGGAACCUCCAUAUGCUGUGGGAGUGGCCCAAGAAAUGGCAAAAAGACAAAAAAAAAAAAGAAUUGCUGAUCUAGGACUGUGGGACAUGCUUUUUAGACCAAUGGUAUGAUAUUUUAUCCAUUUAAUAGUCAUUCUUAUGUCUACAUCACAAGAACAUUUCUAGUAAAACAAUGGCUACUUUUUGAGCCACUUCUCUGUGUUGAGGGGCUUUACCUUCUUUGGCUCAUUUAAAAUUUACAAGAAUCCUACAUGAAUGCAGGUAAGCAGUGGUGGAGUCUGGAUUUGGAUUCAGAUUUUUUCUUUAAAUUCUCCAAACUCUUUAAUCCCUCACUCACCACUGGAAGAUUAUAUGGUUUUAGAAAUUUUUUAGACAACAGACUAUAGUGGUUUAAAGUACAGGUUCUGGGAACAAACUGCCUAGAUCUGAAUCUGUCUCAUCUAGUUCUUAGCUAUAUGUUAUUUAAAUUCUUUGACCUCAUUUUUUUUUUAAUCUAUAAAAUGCAUCCCUCUCAGGGGAUUUCUGUGAAAAUUACAUGAGAUAAUGUAUACAAUGUCCGGCACAUGGGAAUGCACAGCUACAAUGAGUUUAAGCUUCAAACUCAUGUGCUGGCAAAACUGGAAUAGAAUGUAUGUGAGUAAGGUGAGCCUGCACUUGGCAUCUGGGAGUGGUGGGGACUGUGGAGGACUUCGUAGGUCUCCUCCUGUCUAUACAUUCUCCAGCCAAUUUGCAAAGACAUUGGUACAAGCUAAAUAGCUGGUAUUGGCAGGUUGGACUGAGAUCAUGACCCCACGAUUACUGGUGAGGUCACUGAAAUCCAGUGAAGCAAAGGGGCCUUCCAGGGUUGUACUGUCUCUCAGUGGUGGGGUUUGAUAAGAAACUUAUGCCCCAUUUUAUCCUUGCCCACAUCUCAUUCUACUGCCCUGUAUGUAGUUCCUUCUAUUUGUUUUCUGAAAAACAUCUCUUGCUUUUAAAUCUGUAAAUGAGUUCUGAUUUCCUCAUAAGCUGAAAACAUUUAUUCAUACAGAGACUCUGAGCAAUGACUGUGGGCAGAGGAUUCUCCUACCAGGAUACUUGAGCAUUGAAAUUGCUCCCCACUGGGCAUCAGAACCCCCAAGACCAGACUUCACAGUGCUCCAGUGGGAGGAUUAUAGGUUUCUGCAGGUACGAAAAGGGUCAGGACUUGCAAAUAAAUGCAACCACCAAUUAGAUACCCUCAACACUAUUUGUAAUUUGGAGUCCUUAAAACAAACAAGGAUUGUUAUAGUUUAAAUACAUGAUUUUUUUAAGGCUACCAUCCUUUAAACUACUCCUUGCUGUUGAUCCUUAGGCAACGGAUUGGUAGGACUUGAGAAUGAAAAACUUAUAUAUAAGAGAGUAUAUCUUCUUGAAAUCCAAAGACAUCUUAAGAAUACAGAAAAAUCUCCAUACCGUGCCUACAUUUCCAAAUAUUUCUAAUAGUUUACUACACAAUCCUUUAUCCCAUUUUACAGAUACACACACACACACACACACCUCUACUCACUGUUUAUUAUGAUCUAGAAGGUCACAGGUCACUGUUUUAUUCAUAUUUAUCUCUUUAGCACACACACACACACAGAGAAAACAGUGUCUGGUAUCAAGUAGGUACCUGGUGAAUAUUUUUAAAAUUAACAGAAUAAUGUUUGGAAGCUUGAAUGAUGAAAAGCAGACUCUCUAUUAUAAACGGGCAGUUCUACUUUGUUUGAACUCAUAAAGAUAAUGUCUCUUUCCACUUUGUUAAAUUUCUUUGUAACUUCUAACCAUUGAUCCCAGACUGACCACGCAGGUUAUGUAAAGAAGAGCUUCCAUCAGUUUUCGAAGCCCUUGAAGACUGGCUUCAUGAUUCCCUAAUUCUUUUAUUUAAUAUUUAUAUAUAAGACAAAUACCCUUUUCUCCUUCUAUGGCAUGAUGUCAAAUCCCUAGAACUAGAACAUACAGAUAUCCCUCCUUGAUCUGUUCAAAAACUUGUUUGCUUUGGUUUAAAAUUUGUGGCAGUGACUUCUGGUUGUCCCUGAAAAGUCAUACACCAUUUCUGAUAUAAUGUGGGUACAUGACUACAGCUCAAGACUCUUAUUUCCCAGCUUCUUUUGUACCAGACAUGCCUAUGCAGCUCGUGGUGGUCAAUGGAAUGUGAAUGAAAGUGAUAUGUACCACUUCUGAGUCAUGAUCUUAAAAUGAGCUCUUUUCUUCCUUCUUCACACCCUGCUGCCUGGAGACAAGCCAUCCUGAACUGCACCGAAGAAGGGCCCAUCAUAGGGAUGGCAGGACAACAAAUUAAGAAAACGAACAUGUACACACACACAGUAUAAGAAAGGUAGUACAAUUUCAUAAUAAAAUUAAUUAAGACACAUGGAUAAAAAUCUGUGGUCUCUGGAUGAGCUUAAAGAGCCAAGAUGGUUUACCGCAACCUUGACUGCUCACCUUUAGAUAAUAACAUGAUAGAGAAAAAACUACUACCUUACUUAAGCCAUGUUGAGUUGAGACCAUCACAUGCAUCUGGAUCUACAGUCUACUAACAACGCCAGCUCCCUGAGUUCAGCAGAUAAACUAUACCACAGAAUGUAUGUUGUUGACUUAGCAUUUGGGGAGUAGAUGGGAAAGACGUAAUUAUUAUAAACUAAAGCCACUGGCUCUCAUUAUUCCAUGUGAUAUCUCAAAAGCAGACCAGCGUUCUUGAUUCUGCAAUUUGAUACUGAAACCUCAUUACAUUUCACUAACCCAAUCCCCCAUUUCUCUCUAUUGUGAGGCCUCACGUGUCACUUAAUGAAUUUUCCCUCCGUUUUCAUACCCAGUCUUUCACUACAUUAUAUACAUGCCUCAUGGAUUUGUUUCGUUUUAUAUUUUUAAUUGUUUUUAACUGAAAGGCCAGUCAGACCAUGUGACAUAUCACCAGGGAUUCCCUUCACCCAUUUUGGAGGAUAAUUAUUUAAUUGUAUCUAAUGGGAAAACCCCUUCAUUGUUCAUUCCUAUAACUCAAUCUUCUUUAAUGUUCACACAUACACACACUGAUAAUUAUCAUUAGUAUCUGCACAUUAAUAAGCACGCUUUUUGUAUUUUUAGUGUUUUUCGGUGAUGCUCCAAACCAGGAUUCAGCAAACUAUGGAUGAUAGGCCAGAUGUAACUCAUCUCCUGUCUUUUUAAAUGAGGUUUUAUUAGAACAUAGCCAUCCCCCUCCAUCUACGGAUUGUCUAUGGAUGCUUUUGUGCUACAGUGGCAGAGCCAAGUAGUUGCCACAAACACUGCAUGGCCACAAAUACAAAAAUAUUUACUAUGCAGAAAAAGUGCAGUGAUACUUGCCUAAACUAGUGUUUCUCAAACUUUUUUCCAUUAUCAUUCUCCCAAAGAGCUUUGUGAGAUUUUUUUUUUUUCCAAAUCCCCCAUCCCCAGGAAACUGUAAUAGUGUGGACUGUUUUCUUUUUCUUCCUUUUUAGGGCUGCACUCAUGGCAUAUGGAUAUUCCCAGUCUAGGGGUCCAAUUGGAGUAGCAGCAGCCAGCCUACACCACAGCCACAGCAACACAGAAUCCAAGCCACAUCUACAAAUUCCGCCACAGCUCAUGGCAACACCAGAUCCUUAAUCCACCGAGUAAGGCCAGGGACCGAACCUCCAUCCUCAUGGUAACUAGGGUUCAUAAUCCACUGAGCCACAAGGGGAACUCACAGCCCCUACAGAGAAUGCAGAAUCUAUACAAGGUUUUUUUUAGUCUCAACACUAACUGAUAUUUCAGGCCAAAUAAUUCUUACUGGGGGAAGCUGCCCUAUGUUCUAUAGAAUGUUUAGAACCAUCCCUGGCUUCUAGACACAAGUAGCUACUUUACACAUCUGCGGCAAUCAAAAAUAUCUUCAGACAUUGCCAAAUGUCCCGUGGAGGGAGAGAUGGUCACAUUGUCCCAGCAGCGAAUCCCUUGCUUUAGACUGAUAAUGUCAUCAUGCAAAAAAAUAAGAGGGAAAAUUUACAUUACUAUAUCCUGGCAAUAGUUACCAUUAACAGAGUUUCUUAUCUCUUUCCUUAGUUGUGAUUCUCACCCCACUAGAUACAGGCCCUGUGAAAGCAGAAACUUGAAUUAUUCAGCAAUGUAUCCAAAUGAACAUCCAGAAAAAUGUAUGGCUCUCCAUUUAUGUUUAAAGAUAAAUCAAUAAUUCUGACUAAAACCAUGCUGGCACUCACAAAUUACAAUUUCUUCCUAAAAGAGGUUAAAAAAUACAUCUUCAAAUAAUUUAUUCUAAGUUUUCCUUCAAAACGGGCAUUAGACACAUUGGCCAGGAGUUGCUUGAAUCCCUGUCUAUCUUUAAUUAUCUACAACAAUUUCUAUUUCAACAGAGUUCCUCAAAGACUAGUCAGUGGUUCAGAAAUCUUAUUUAAUUCUCUCAGUGAGUUUUCUUCAAAGCCAGGAAAAUCGAACUUUUGGAGAGAAAGUCUUACCAUUCCUUCUCUUAUAUUGAGUUUCCAUUCUCAACUAACAAUGGCCAUUCUAUCAUUCAAUUUGUAAGAAUUAUUCUCAUUGUCAGGCAUCCAAAGAAAAAAUAUGGAAGGAAAUGGGCUUUCUCUGUCAUCAAACACAUGCAAUCAUUUCUUAGAUUUUUCCUGCUCUGAAGAAAAACAUAAUUGUUUUCUUGCCACUCACCCUCAGGGUAAUAUUAUAGAAGAUUGUCUUAGAAAUGAAAAGCAGGCAAUACAGAGAUGUGUUCCUAAGAGUGAUAAGGAUAUCAUCAAGG